rnacentral:lncRNA from 1 species
AGAAGGUAGUAUGGAGAUUCGCCAAUAGUCAAGCAGUCUAUCAGUUUUUGACUGCUGGAAUAUAAACAACUGCAAGAAUACACCGUAAAUCUAUAUGGAUGUCCUUCGACUGCUUGUCGAAGUCCUUUUUGCCCCAGCCGGUAGGUCUCUAGACGUUACAGAGAACCCCAAACAAUCCAAUCUGCUAAUCUCCGAUACCGCUUUGUACUUACGAUCUUGUAUCCACUGACUGUCUUGUUAGAUUAACCCAAUAAAUUUCAUGCACUCCGCAUACUCAAUCCUAUAUACACCCUUUUAAUUCUUCAAUCACAGACGUAACUCGAUUUUACAAAACAGUCAAGAGUAAUCAAACCCACUUCAUUAAAAAAUCCCGAUUCACCAUUACAACACUGACUUCAGCAACGAUUGCCUCAGUCUUCCCAAAAUCCUAUGAAGAAAAAAAAAACCCAAUUCUCUGUCUUCUUUUUCCGC